UAUUGCAUGACAGUACAUGAAACAACAACAACCACUGAACUACAGGCUCCUCCUGACUUUGGACAGGCACAUAUAGAAUGUGGAGUUAAACUAAAUUUGAUUGCACCAACCGGGACAGUGGUGUUGUGGCACAAUAUUCGAACAAACUAUGCAAAACAUUAAAAGAAAAACAAAUAUGACAAACAGCAAAACACAACAACCACUCAAUUACAUGCUCCUGACUUGGUACAGGCACAAGGAAUAUGAUAGGCUAUUAAAUCCCUACCUACCUACCCUAACUUUUUUUUUAGAUGUAACUGGAACCACACAUACUAUUUUAUAGAGAACAUACAUAUGAUUGAAGAGAUUGUUGUAGCUUAAGUUAAAUGUGCAUGUGUUUAAAAAUAAUAUUUAGUAUGGUUUUAAUUAAUUGAUAACAAAAUCAAUUUUUAUACCAAUAAAAAACAAUAUUCACUUCUUUUAAAAGAACUGGGCCGUUUGAAGUUAGAUGAAAGAUGAUCUGCAUCAUUGUGUUUAUGAUAAUGUGGAAAAAUACCAAUUGUUUUGAGAAUUGGCUCCUCAGACGUCAGUGAACGAGACUUAUGACUUAAUUUAUGUUCAUGAUUUUCAACAGAACUAUUAAAAAGAAAAAUGGUGCAGAUCAACAGUAUCUUGGAAUUUACUCAUAAAGAAAAGAGAGCUGGAGACUCAGAGAGGCAGGAAAAGAACAGACCAGGGAAUCACAGAUCCAUAUCAGAUAAUAAAAUUGAAUCGAAAAUUUAAA